AAAACACUUCCUUCUUACGUGUAUUGAGGACCCGAGGAUGAGGGCCAAGGAGAACAUUGCCCAAUACAGUUUAAUGCUCGACUCACUGGAAGUGCUCAAGAGGGAACGUGCCUCCCUCAAGAAUGCCAAGCUGCCUCCUGGUCAUCCAACACGACUGCAAAACCGGAGGCAGAAAUAUGAGUAUCUGAGGCUGGAGAAU